UAGGGANUCUUCCGCAAUGGACGCAAGUCUGACGGAGCAACGCCGCGUGAGUGAAGAAGGUUUUCGGAUCGUAAAACUCUGUUGUUAGAGAAGAACAAGUGCUAGAGUAACUGUUAGCGCCUUGACGGUAUCUAACCAGAAAGCCACGGCUAACUACGUGCCAGCAGCCGCGGUAAUACGUAGGUGGCAAGCGUUGUCCGGAUUUAUUGGGCGUAAAGCGAGCGCAGGCGGUUCCUUAAGUCUGAUGUGAAAGCCCCCGGCUCAACCGGGGAGGGUCAUUGGAAACUGGGGAACUUGAGUGCAGAAGAGGAGAGUGGAAUUCCAUGUGUAGCGGUGAAAUGCGUAGAUAUAUGGAGGAACACCAGUGGCGAAGGCGACUCUCUGGUCUGUAACUGACGCUGAGGCUCGAAAGCGUGGGUAGCAAACAGGAUUAGAUACCCUGGUAGUCCACGCCGUAAACGAUGAGUGCUAAGUGUUGGAGGGUUUCCGCCCUUCAGUGCUGCAGUUAACGCAUUAAGCACUCCGCCUGGGGAGUACGNNNNCAAGGUUG
rnacentral:rRNA from 1 species